ACCCACCCGCAACCGCGUCCGUUGACGGUCGGGUCCUUGGUCGCCGGGUCCUUGCGGGCACCACAGAGCGGGGUGGCGUCCGCUCCCUCGAGUCCUCGGUGCCAGGGAAUUCACCGCUCACCACCCCCUGCCCCGCCUUGGGUCCUGCUCGGGGACCAAACCACUGGAAGGCAGUGGCGGGAAACGGGCGCCUGUGCCGGAGGUAACGCCCAGUGAUGUCCGAACACUGGUGAAUGGAUUUGCCAAGAACCCUUUGCAAGCCCGAAGAGAAGGACUGUAUUUCAAGGGAAAAGAUUACAGAUGUGUCCGGGCAGAUGAAUAUUCUCUUUAUGCCAAAAAUGAGAACACUGGUGUGGUUGUCGUGAAGACCCAUCUGUAUCUUCUGGUAGCAACUUACACUGAGGGCAUGUAUCCUAGCAUCUGUGUGGAAGCCACAGAGAGCCUGGGAGACUACCUAAGAAAAAAAGGAAGUUAAGUCAUCAGAGGCCCAUGAAAGACAAUUUUAUUAUUUUAGAAGAAAAUUGAAGAGCCUAAAGAAAAAAUAUUUUAUGGUUGAAAAAACACUAGACAGAAGGCACUAAAAAAGAAGAAUGAAUUAAGGGAGCAAUUUUUAUUACUUCCAGAGAUCCUCUUCUUUCACUGGAAUUACUUGAUCAACUGU
rnacentral:lncRNA from 1 species